AACGAACGCUGGCGGCAUGCCUAACACAUGCAAGUCGAACGACAGCUCCGGGUUCAGUGGCGCACGGGGGCGUAACGCGGGGGAACCUGCCCUGAGGCUUGGAAUAACGCCGCGAAAGGGGUGCUAAUACCGGGAAAUGUCCUCGGACCAAAGAUUUUACGCGUUUGGGGGGGCCCGCGUUGUAUUAGCUGGGUGGUAGGGUAAAAGCCUAUCAAGGCGACGAUGCAUAGCGGGUCUGAGAGGCUGGUCAGCGACUCUGGGAGUGGGAAACGGCCGGGACUCCUGCAGGAGGCAGGCAUGCGUGAUACAGCAAAAUGGGCUGAAGGAAGAUCCAGCACUGCCUCGUGAGUGCUUAAGUCCUGAAAGUUGUAAAGCUCUUUAACACGGCAUGAUAAUGACAGUACCGGAAGAAUAAGCUCCGGCUAACUCCGUG
rnacentral:rRNA from 1 species